CCUACGGGAGGCAGCAGUGGGGAAUAUUGCACAAUGGGGGAAACCCUGAUGCAGCGACGCCGCGUGAGCGAUGAAGUAUUUCGGUAUGUAAAGCUCUAUCAGCAGGGAAGAAAAUGACGGUACCUGACUAAGAAGCACCGGCUAAAUACGUGCCAGCAGCCGCGGUAAUACGUAUGGUGCAAGCGUUAUCCGGAUUUACUGGGUGUAAAGGGUGCGUAGGUGGCAGUGCAAGUCAGAUGUGAAAGGCUGGGGCUCAACCCCGGAGCUGCAUUUGAAACUGCAUAGCUAGAGUACAGGAGAGGCAGGCGGAAUUCCUAGUGUAGCGGUGAAAUGCGUAGAUAUUAGGAGGAACACCAGUGGCGAAGGCGGCUUACUGGACGGUAACUGACGUUGAGGCUCGAAAGCGUGGGGAGCAAACAGGAUU
rnacentral:rRNA from 1 species